rnacentral:rRNA from 1 species
GACGAACGCUGGCGGCGUGCUUAACACAUGCAAGUCGAACGAAGCUACUAAAAGGAAGUCUUCGGACAGAAUUUUAGUAGACUUAGUGGCGGACGGGUGAGUAACGCGUGGAUAACCUGCCUUAUACAGGGGGAUAACGGAGAGAAAUUUCCGCUAAGACCGCAUAAGACCACAGCACCGCAUGGUGCAGGGGUAAAAUAUUUAUAGGUAUAAGAUGGAUCCGCGUCCGAUUAGCUAGUUGGUGAGGUAGAGGCUCACCAAGGCGACGAUCGGUAGCCGGCCUGAGAGGGUGAACGGCCACAUUGGGACUGAGACACGGCCCAAACUCCUACGGGAGGCAGCAGUGGGGAAUAUUGGACAAUGGGGGAAACCCUGAUCCAGCGACGCCGCGUGAGUGAAGAAGUAUUUCGGUAUGUAAAGCUCUAUCAGCAGGGAAGAAAAUGACGGUACCUGACUAAGAAGCCCCGGCUAACUACGUGCCAGCAGCCGCGGUAAUACGUAGGGGGCAAGCGUUAUCCGGAUUUACUGGGUGUAAAGGGAGCGCAGACGGCGAAGCAAGUCUGAAGUGAAAUGCAUGGGCUCAACCCAUGAAUUGCUUUGGAAACUGUUUGGCUUGAGUGUCGGAGGGGUAAGCGGAAUUCCUAGUGUAGCGGUGAAAUGCGUAGAUAUUAGGAGGAACACCGGAGGCGAAGGCGGCUUACUGGACGACAACUGACGUUGAGGCUCGAAGGCGUGGGGAGCAAACAGG